UGAAAUGAAGAUGGGAGCCUUGUGAUUGGCC
rnacentral:piRNA from 1 species